ACUGGAUUCUGAAAGAAUGAAUAAAUAAAAUAAAUGAAAUCUUACAGUUAUUAGAAAAUGUAAAAGAUGAGAAACAGUAUGUUCUAUUGUACUGUAUAAGUACAGAAAUGAAUUUAGAGCUGCAGAUAGAAAUGAAGGACUUACCCUGAAUCCAGAGAGUGAGAGUCCAGAUGAAGAUGGAGAAGAAAGUCAUGGUUGCUGUGGGUGAAGUUGCUGGGCAGCAGCUCUCAGUCAUGAAGUGUUAAACUCACAGGACUAUAAACACUAGCAGAGCACUGAAGCAUGGGCUGAUAAUGCAAAGUGGAACCUCUCUAUGGAAAUAUCUAGAACCCCUCCUGAACCUAAAACACAACAAAGAAAACACUCUAAAUAUUACAGAACAAUAUUACACUCACACCAUUUUAUACACCCAGAUUCUGACUGGAUACAUCUGAUACACAUCCAGAGGACUGAGUGUGUGUGUGUGAGUGUGUGUGAGUGUGUGUGUGUGUGUGUGUGUGUGGUUCAUCACUGGAGUGUAACAGAGGUUUUUGUACGACGGCUUCAUUGGAAUGUAUCACUGUGGUACACUUUCGGUGGAGGAACUAAACUCACUAUAACCGGUCCCACGGUGAAGCCCUCCGUGUCUCUGCUCCGCCCCUCCUCUCUGCAGCUGUCUGAGGGCUCCGCCUCUCUGCUCUGCCUGCUGUCUGGCUACUCUCCACAGGGGGCGCUGGUCAGCUGGACGGUGGACGGCUCAGAGGUGAAGGACGGGGUUCUGACCAGUGCAGAAGAAGAGAAGAACGGCCGCUACAGCCGUAGCAGCACCCUGACCCUCAGCAAAGCACUCUGGGAAAAGGGGGAGGAGUUUAUCUGCACCGUCACCCACGAAAAGGUGGUUCAGCCAAUCAGGUUGAGGAAGAGCGAGUGUGAAGGCUAGCAGCUCCAAGAUAGAAGUGAACAUAGAGCUGCUUCCACCUGCAUCUCCAAUAGAGUGUAAAUUCUACACAGUGCUGAUAUUUGUGUCUUUACUCUGGUCAGUGUGCUGUAGCUGUCCCCAUACUUUUGCUGUGCUGAAAUAAAGCUGGAUUUUGGACACUGUGUGUGUUGUAUUGUAAUGAAUGCUGAUGAUCAGUGUUGGUAGAGAGUGUGUUUAGCUGCAGCUUCAGUGCAGUGCUGUGUGUGUUGUGCU